CCUACGGGGGCAGCAGUGGGGAAUUUUGGACAAUGGGCGCAAGCCUGAUCCAGCCAUGCCGCGUGUGGGAAGAAGGCCUUCGGGUUGUAAACCACUUUUGUCAGGGAAGAAACGGCUUUUUCUAAUACAGAGAGCUAAUGACGGUACCUGAAGAAUAAGCACCGGCUAACUACGUGCCAGCAGCCGCGGUAAUACGUAGGGUGCAAGCGUUAAUCGGAAUUACUGGGCGUAAAGCGUGCGCAGGCGGCUUUGCAAGACAGAUGUGAAAUCCCCGGGCUCAACCUGGGAACUGCAUUUGUGACUGCAUGGCUAGAGUACGGUAGAGGGGGAUGGAAUUCCGCGUGUAGCAGUGAAAUGCGUAGAUAUGCGGAGGAACACCGAUGGCGAAGGCAAUCCCCUGGACCUGUACUGACGCUCAUGCACGAAAGCGUGGGGAGCAAACAGGAUUAGAUACCCUGGUAGUCCACGCCCUAAACGAUGUCAACUGGUUGUUGGACGGCUUGCUGUUCAGUAACGAAGCUAACGCGUGAAGUUGACCGCCUGGGGAGUACGGCCGCGAAGGUUGAAACGUUAAAGAGUAGUACGCGNGNGAGAGCGACGACGACGACGACGGAGGGAGGAG
rnacentral:rRNA from 1 species